UGUAAACCAUAUGUGUCAUACAAAUUAGUCCCAAGACACAAAAAACAGAACAAAUUUUAAUGAACUGAAAUCGAUGCAUUGGGUAGAUGGGAUGUUUUUAUCCAUUUCUAUUCAAGGCCACCUUGUUGUAUAUAAAUGUCUCUUGUUUGGUGUAAAUACCCGGUAUAUAUGGCUUCUGCAAUGUAAUCCUAUUCAAGAAAGAAAU